GAUUGCUUGCUUUGCUUUUUAGCCUUGUGAGUGGUUGAUUGGCAUUUCGACUUCGGAAACGUCUACCGUAAAGGUGCAUGAGUGGUGUUUGGUUUGAUACGGGUGGUCGGCUCCCUGCUUGAGCAGGCACGACCUCGCGUGCAUUCCUUUUCAGUUGGGCGACAAGGCUUGUAUCGUCUUGAUCGUUUAUGUGGGUUUCAUGUGUUGCAUACCUGAUCAAUGGCAUCGUUAUGAUCAAAAGCUUCCCUCUUCGUCUGACGUUGCACCCGCAUCGUUGGAUGAUUCAUGUAGCAUCAUCUUUGGUCCAUGCAGUUAACGUGAAUUCGUUUACUGUUUGGCCCAUUGACGGUGGCUUGGUCUCUUGAAUAUGGAAGCCAAAUUGGGCAUUGGAUCGAAAGAUCCUUUUACUGCCUUUUUUGAGCGUUAUCGCUUCUCUUAAACGACUGCCUUUCACGUAUGGCACGUCCCAGCGUGUUUUGGCUAUGUCGAAGAGGAAUGU
rnacentral:misc_RNA from 1 species